rnacentral:rRNA from 1 species
AUUGAACGCUGGCGGCAGGCCUAACACAUGCAAGUCCAACGUGUGGCGGAGGGGUGAGUAAUGUCUGGGAAACUGCCCGAUGGAGGGGGAUAAAUUCUGGAAACGGUAGCUAAUCCCGCAUACCAUCCGAUGUGCCCCGAUGGGAGUAUCUUGUUGGUGGGGUAACGGCGCACCAAGGCGCCGACCCCUAGCUGGUCUGAGAGGAUGACCAGCCACACGGGAACGUGGGUACGGUCCAGAAUCCGACGUGAGGCGGCAGUGGGGAAGAUUGCAAGAGGGGAGGAAGCCAUAUGCAGCCGUGCCGCGUGGAUGAAGAAGGCCUUCGGGUGGUAGAGUACGUGCAGCGGGGAGGCGUUGCCCGCAGAAGAAGCACCGGGUAACUCCGUGCCAGCAGCCGCGGUAAUAC